GGGACCGSAAGGCCGCACGCGAGCAGAUGCGCCCAGAUGGGAUUAGGCAGUUGGGGAGGUAACGGCUCACCAAACCGAUGAUCUCUAGCUGGUUUGAGAGGACAAUCAGCCACAUUGGAAUUGAGAAACGGACCAAACUCCUACGGGAGGCAGCAGUGGGGAAUAUUGCACAAUGGGGGAAACCCUGAUGCAGCCAUGCCGCGUGUGUGAAGAAGGCCUUCGGGUUGUAAAGCACUUUUGCAUUCGAGGAAGACAGCGUAUAAAUAAAUGCGCUAUUUGACGUUAGAGUGUGAAUAAGCACCGGCAAACUCCGUGCCAGCAGCCGCGGUAAUACGGAGGGUGCGAGCGUUAAUCGGAAUGACUGGGCGUAAAGGGCACGCAGGUGGCGAGAUAAGUUGGAUGUGAAAUUCCCGUGCUUAACAUGGGGACUGCAUCCAAAACUGUUGAACUGGAGUACUGUAGAGGGAGGUAGAAUUCCACGUGUAGCGGUGAAAUGCGUAGAGAUGUGGAAGAAUACCAGAGGCGAAGGCGGCCUCCUGGACAGAUACUGACACUGAGGUGCGAAAGCGUGGGUAGCAAACAGGAUUAGAUACCCUGGUAGUCCGCGCCGUAAACGAUGUUAACUUGAAAUAUGCGUACUACGGUAUGGGUGUUUCGAAGCAAACGCGAUAAGUUAACCGCCUGGGGAGUACGAUCGCAAGGUUAAAACUCAAAUGAAUUGACGGGGGCCCGCACAAGCGGUGGAGCAUGUGGUUUAAUUCGAUGCAACGCGAAGAACCUUACCUGGCCUUGAGAUACCGGGAAUCCUGCAGAGAUGCGGGAGUGCCUUCGGGAACCCGGAUACAGGUGCUGCAUGGCUGUCGUCAGCUCGUGUCGUGAGAUGUUGGGUUAAGUCCCGCAACGAGCGCAACCCUUAUCCUCUGUUGCCAGCACUUCGGGUGGGAACUCAGAGGAGACUGCCAGUUAUAAACUGGAGGAAGGCGGGGAUGACGUCAAGUCAUCAUGGCCCUUACGGCCAGGGCUACACACGUGCUACAAUGGGGCGUACAGAGGGAAGCCAAGCCGUGAGGCGGAGCGGAUCUCACAAAGCGUCCCGUAGUUCGGAUUGAAGUCUGCUAGUGGAUA
rnacentral:rRNA from 1 species